rnacentral:tRNA from 1 species
GGCGACGUGGCGGAAUGGUAGACGCGUUGGAUUCAAAAUCCAAUGGCUGCGAGGUCGUGUGGGUUCAAGUCCCACCGUCGCUACCA